AUAAACUUUGAUUUGAUAGCACCUUCGGUUGUGCAUCAAGAAUUAUGCAUAGCAAGUUUGUAUGAAGGUCUGGUUAUUCACAGGCAAAUUGUUAUUUGCUAUGGAGGUACAUGUGUGUCUUUUUGUCGAGAGCAAAACUUUUUAUUUUCAAUCAAAAAUAAUUGUUCUGAAAGCAACUUUUUUCCCCAGACACAAAGGAAGUCCUAGCGGACACCUACGAAGAAGGACUGUGUGAGGAUGGCAUCUCAGAAGGAUGAAAGAACACAAUAUGUCUGUCAAGGAAUGCUAUUCUGAUAUGUCAGAUGAAGAGUUAGACCAGAAAGUCAGCCCCAUUAAGGCAAGGAUGCCCCAUGCGGGCUUUAAGAUGGUCAAAGGAAGUCUCAGAACAACGGGUCAUCGUGUACAACGGAGAAGAGUUAGGGAGUCUUUGCAGCGUGUAGAUGGUGCAGGUAUCAUUGCCAGAAUGAUCCAGCUUCGUUGCAUUGCUCGGCAAAAAUACUCCCUGCUCCAGUCUCUCGUCCACAUUGAUACAAAUCAUAAAUUGAUAAGAUACAACAUUGUCAUCUUUGGYGGUAUAGAUGGAUUUUCAAGGAAGGUAAAUAUUUUAUAUACAUAUUGCAUAUUUUCCAUCACCUAAUGAACAACCACAAUAUCAGUCUGGUGUUAAGCUUUCUGUGCUGUAUUGACAGAUCCUGAAAAUGAC